UGGGUUAGACCCACGCGAACGGGUGAGUAAUACCUAGGAACUUUCUUUAAGUGGAGCAUAACCAGUCGAAAGAUUGGAUAAUACUUCAUGUGGCAGUAAUGCUAAAGUCGCAAGACGCUUAAAGUGAGGCCUGGGCACCAUCAGCUAGUUGGUAAGGUAAUGGCUUACCAAGGCUAUGACGGUUAGGGGCCCCGAGAGGGGAGACCUCCACACUGGAACUGCGACACGGUCCAG
rnacentral:rRNA from 1 species